CCUGGUACCUUUGAUAACUAUUAUGAUGAUAUAUUCAAUACUUGAAUCCAAAGUCAACGAAGCAUCCAUCAUGCCGAGGAGAAUCGACUCACAUGAUGACGUGGCAGCAAUUUCCUGUAUUUUAAGAUUAUAAAGCAUAUAAUAUAUAUCGAUCUUAAAACUAUUUUCAAUUUGAUUUUGAUUACUUUAUUAAUUUCAAUCGUUGCAACACAUUUUAUGAGGAUGUGUUGUUUCCAUCUAACUUGAUUUGUUUGGUGAAAAGUAAAGAGGGACGUGUAUGAUGUUCCGUCAUCCAUAACUGUACGUUAUCAUACGUUAUUGCUAUACUAGUAUGUUAACCCUAGAUUUUCAGUUUUCGUCCAAGCUAAUGGUGCUUACCUGUUGCAUCUUUUACGGAUGACACAUCUUCCAGAAAUAGUUAAUACUCUUGUGAUUGUUUCAUUAUUUUGAGGAGAAUUUUGCCCGUCAUGUAAAGUCCCACUUCAUCUUUGAACACAGCCAAUGCUUUAAGAAGAUAAUAGUAAGCACAGAAGCAUGAAUCUGGGCUUCGAUAAACAGUUUGAUAAACAGUAUGUUGAAGCGUUCGUAACUGAAUUUCUGCCUGUGAAUUAUUGCCAAGUUCGUGAUGAGUCAAAAAGGAUAAGUAAUGUAACAUGAUAGAUGAGUAGCACGAAAGAAAUACGCAAAUCUCACUACUAGUAAAAGCUAAAUUUUUAUGAUCCAAAAAUGAUUUGUUUGUAUCAUGAACAGAUGAAUGAAUGGUACAUCUUUCAUUACUUGUUGUCGUAAUCGUUUCAGAAACGAACAAUUCACAGACAGUCGUUUUCUAUUAAUUGUGUGUACAAAAUUUGCUUUCUCAUAUAUUGACAAACGAAAUAUGUCAAUAGAUAAUACAGCCGUUUCAAGGUCUAAGAGUGGAAACAUUUUUGAGUAUUCUCGGUUGUUAUAGUUAUAUGCUGCAAGCAAUAACCACCCUGAUGCAGUAACAAUUUUGACAUUUUAUCCUGCAAUUGGGUGUCCUACUAUACAGAUACAGCCCUACAGAUAUCGCUAUGCUGUAUCUGUAUACUAUACAGAUGUCGCUUUAAAGCUCCGCCCACUGCCGGACUGAGUAUUGUUUGAACCUGUGUGACCUCAGAAUGUGUAUUCCAGUUGCAUUCCAAUGACGAUGACAAUUGUCGAUUUCAAAACUUGAAUGUGUAUGCUUGUGUUACAAAAUCAACCAUGUAAAUUUCAGCAUGCAUGUUUAGUGAAUGUCAAGUCUGAAGCGUAGGACAACUCGUACACUUCUGUUUCAAAUUUGACAAUGUUUUGUUAUUUGUUUUUACUGUUCAAAUUAGUUGUUAUGUUAAAAUAGAUAAUUAUUCACCUUGAGCGAUGUAUUAUUGUUGACCAUUCGAGAUUCUAUUUUGCGAACCCGUCUUCAGCGUAAUGUGUGAUUUUGAUAUUACUACGCGGGCCUCAAGGGAUUGCAAAUCGAAAAUAAAUGCUAA
rnacentral:lncRNA from 1 species